rnacentral:rRNA from 1 species
GAUGAACGCUGGCGGCGCGCCUAAUACAUGCAAGUCGAGCGAGAAGACGUAGCAAUACGUUUGUAAAGCGGCGAACGGGUGAGGAAUACAUGGGUAACCUACCCUCGAGUGGGGAAUAACUAGCCGAAAGGUUAGCUAAUACCGCGUACGCUUCUUGGACUUCGGUUCAGGGAGGAAAGCGAUACCGUGGGUAUCGCGCUCUUGGAUGGGCUCAUGUCCUAUCAGCUUGUUGGNGAGGUAACGGCUCACCAAGGCUUCGACGGGUAGCUGGUCUGAGAGGACGAUCAGCCACACUGGCACUGCGACACGGGCCAGACUCCUACGGGAGGCAGCAGUAAGGAAUAUUGCGCAAUGGGCGAAAGCCUGACGCAGCGACGCCGCGUGGGGGAUGAAGGUCUUCGGAUUGUAAACCCCUUUCGGGAGGGAAGAUGGAAUGGGGUAACCCA